CCAUGCCGCGUGCGGGAAGAAGGCCUUCGGGUUGUAAACCGCUUUCGGCCGGAACGAAAUCGCCCGGGUGAACAUCCCGGGUGGAUGACGGUACCGGAAGAAGAAGCACCGGCUAACUACGUGCCAGCAGCCGCGGUAAUACGUAGGGUGCGAGCGUUAAUCGGAAUUACUGGGCGUAAAGCGUGCGCAGGCGGUUUCGUAAGACAGGUGUGAAAGCCCCGGGCUUAACCUGGGAAUUGCGCUUGUGACUGCGAGGCUGGAGUGCGGCAGAGGGAGGUGGAAUUCCACGUGUAGCAGUGAAAUGCGUAGAGAUGUGGAGGAACACCGAUGGCGAAGGCAGCCUCCUGGGCUAGCACUGACGCUCAUGCACGAAAGCGUGGGGAGCAAACAGGAUUAGAUACCCUGGUAGUCCACGCCCUAAACGAUGGCGACUAGUUGUUGGGGUAGCAGUACCUUAGUAACGCAGCUAACGCGUGAAGUCGCCCGCCUGGGGAGUACGGUCGCAAGAUUA
rnacentral:rRNA from 1 species